rnacentral:tRNA from 1 species
CCCCUGGUAGUCUAAUGGUUAGGACUCAGCACUUUCACUGCUGCAGCCCAGGUUCAAUCCUUGAUAUUGGA